rnacentral:rRNA from 1 species
CCUACGGGAGGCAGCAGUGAGGAAUAUUGGUCAAUGGACGAGAGUCUGAACCAGCCAAGUAGCGUGAAGGAUGACUGCCCUAUGGGUUGUAAACUUCUUUUAUAUGGGAAUAAAACGUUCCACGUGUGGGAUUUUGUAUGUACCAUAUGAAUAAGGAUCGGCUAACUCCGUGCCAGCAGCCGCGGUAAUACGGAGGAUCCGAGCGUUAUCCGGAUUUAUUGGGUUUAAAGGGAGCGUAGGUGGAUUGUUAAGUCAGUUGUGAAAGUUUGCGGCUCAACCGUACAAUUGACGUUGAAACUGGCAGUCUUGAGUACAGUAGAGGUGGGCGGAAUUCGUGGUGUAGCGGUGAAAUGCUUAGAUAUCACGAAGAACUCCGAUUGCGAAGGCAGUUCACUGGACUGCAACUGACACUGAGGCUCGAAAGUGUGGGUAUCAAACAGGAUUAGAUACCCUUGUAGUC